CAAAAACGGGUGGGCUAUAGCCAUGGGGGGUGGGGCUGGCCAACUUCGUCCGCCGGACUCGGAAUGCCGCGAGACUUUGCAAGGGGCCUCCGUGUGCUAAACAUAUGCCGCGGGCAAAGCCGCGCCCAAAAAUAACCGCCCGAAGGCCGGGUUGCCAAGUUCGUCUGGCAGAAAAAGGCCACAAAAACGGGUGGGCUAUAGCCUUGGGGGGUGGGGCUGGCCCACUUCGUCCGCCGGACUCGGAAUGCCGCGAGACUUUGCGAGGGGCCUCCUUGUGCCAAAAAUAGGCCGCGGGCAAAGCCGUGUCCAAAAAUAACCGCCCGAAGGCCGGGGCGCCAAGUUCGUCCAGCGGAAAAAUGCCACAAAAACGGGUGGGCUAUAGCCUUGGGGGGUGGGGCUGGCCCACUUCGUCCGCCGGACUCGGAAUGCCGCGACACUUUGCGAGGGGCCUCCGUGUGCCAAAAAUAGGCCGUGGGCAAAGCCGUAUCCAAAAAUAACUGCCCGAAGGCCGGGGCGCCAAGUUCGUCCAGCGGAAAAAGGCCACAAAAACGGUUAGGCUAUAGCCUUGGGGGAUGGGGUUGGCCUACUUCGUCCGCCGGACUUGGAAUGCCGAGAGACUUUGCGAGGGGCCUCCGAGUGCCAAAAAUAGGCCACGGGCAAAGCCGUGCCCAAAAAUAACCGCCGGAAGGCCGGGGCGCCAAGUUCGGCCAGCGGAAAAUGGCCACAAAAACGGGUGAGCUAUAGCCUUGGGUGGUGGGGCUGGCCAACUUCGUCCGCCGGACUCGGAAUGCCGCGAGACUUUACGAGGGGCCACCGCGUGCCAAAAAUAGGCUGCGGGCAAAGCCGAGUCCAAAAAUAACCGCCCGAAGACCGGGGCGCCAAGUUCGUCCAGCGGAAAAAGGCCACAAAAACGGGUGGGCUAUAGCCUUGGGGGGUGGGGCUGGCCAACUUUGUCCGCCGGACUCGGAAUGCCACGAGACUUUACGAGGGGCCUCCGUGUGCCAAAAAUAGGCCGCGGGCAAAGCCGAAUCCAAAAAUAACCGCCCGAAGGCCGGGGCGCCAAGUUCGUCCAGCGGAAAAAGGCCACAAAAACGGGUGGGCUAUAGCCUUUGGGGGUGGAACUGGCCCACAUCGUCCGCCGGACUCGGAAUGCCGCGAGACUUUGCGAGGGGCCUCCAUGUGCCAAAAAUAGGCCACGGACAAAGCCGGGCCCAAAAUCAACCGCCCGAAGGCCGGAGCGCCAAGUUCGUCCAGCGGAAAAAGGCCCCAAAAACGGGUGGGCUAUAGCCUUGGGGGGUGGGGCUGGCCAACUUCGUCCGCCGGACUCGGAAUGCCGCGAGACUUUGCGAGGGGCCUCCGUGUGCCAAAAAUAGGCCGUGUGCAAAGCCGCAACCAUAAAUAACCACCCGAAGGCCGGGGCGCCAAGUUCGUCCAGCGGAAAAAGGCCACAAAAACGGGUGGGCUAUAGCCUUGGGGGGUGGGGCUAGCCAACUUCGUCCGCCGGACUCGGAAUGCCGCGAGACUUUGCGAGGGGCCUCCGUGUGCCAAAAAUAGGCCGUGGGCAAAACCGCAUCCAUAAUAACCGCCCGAAGGCCGGGGCGUCCAGUUCGUCCAGCGUAAAAUGGCCACAAAAACGGGUGGGCUAUAGCCUUGGGGGGUGGGGCUGGCCCACUUCGUCCGCCGGACUCGGAAUGCCGCGAAACUUUACGAGGGGCCUCCGUGUGCCAAAAAUAGGCCGCGGGCAAAGCCGUGCACAAAAAUAACCGCGCGAAGGCCGGGGCGCCAAGUUCGUCCAGCGGAAAAAGGCCACAAAAACGGGUGGGCUAUAGCCUUGGGGGGUGGGGCUGGCCAACUUCGUCCGCCGGACUCGGAAUGCCGCGAGACUUUGUGAGGGGUCUCCGUGUACCAAAAAUAGGCCGCGGGCAAAGCCGCGCCCAAAAAUAACCGCCCGAAGGCCGGAGCGCCAAGUUCGUCCAGCGGAAAAAGGCCACAAAAACGGGUGGGCUAUAGCCUUGGGGGUGGAGCUGGCCAACUCCGUCCGCCGGACUCGGAAUGCCGUGAGACUUUGCGAGGGGCCUCCGUGUGCCAAAAAUAGGCGGCGGACAGAGCCGCGCCCGAAAAUAACCGCCCGAAGGCCGGAGCGCCAAGUUCGUCCAGCGGAAAAAGUCCCCAAAAACGGGUGGGCUAUAGCCUUGGGGGGUGGGGCUGGCCAACUUCGUCCGCCGGACUCGGAAUACCGCGAGACUUUACAAGGGGCCUCCGUGUGCCAAAAAUAGGCAGCGGGCAAAGCCGCGCCCAAAAAUAACCGCCCGAAGACCGGGGCGCCAAGUUCGUCCAGCGGAAAAAGUCCACAAAAACGGGUGGGCUAUAGCCUUGGGGGGUGGGGCUGGCCGACUUCGUCCGCCGGACUCGGAAUGCCGUGAGACAUUGCGAGGGGCCUCCGUGUGCCAAAAAUAUGCCGCGGCCAAAGCCGCGCCCAAAAAUAACCGACCGAAGGCCGGGGCGCCAAGUUCGUCCGGCGGACAAAGGCCACAAAAACGGGUGGGCUAUAGCCUUGGGGGUUCGGGCUGGCCACCUUCGUCUGCCGGACUCGGAAUGCCGCGAGACUUUGCGAGGGGCCUCCGUGUACCAAAAAUACACCGCGGGCAAAGCCGGGCACAAAAAUAACCACCCGAAGGCCGGGGCGCCAAGUUCGUCCAGCGGAAAAAGGCCACAAAAACGGGUGGGCUAUAGCCUUGGGGGGUGGGGCUGGCCCACUUCGUCCGCUGGACUCGGAAUGCCGCGAGACGUUGCGAGGGGCCUCCGUGUGCCAAAAAUAGGCCGCGGGCAAAGCCGCGUCGAAAAAUAACCGCCCGAAGACCGGGGCGCCAAGUUCGUCCAGCGGAAAAAGGCCACAAAAACGGGUGGGUUAUAGCCUUGGGGGAUGGGGCCGGCCAAUUUCUUCC
rnacentral:lncRNA from 1 species